UAAUAAUUGGUUCCGAGGUAAAUUGAUAGAGGAGAUAUAAUGAGGAAUGCUGACUUUGUGUGAUAUUGCUUGGUGCUCCUGUGCAAUGAUUGGAUUUGCAAAGUCCGUGACUCAGCUCGUUCUUUGGGAAGUGAACCCUUAAAAAUUGAGAGCUAAUGAGAGCAGCCGUGUCCCUCUGAUGCCAAGGUUCAGAACCUGGAGCCACGUGGGAGAAAGGCCAUGAGAAAUGGAGAAGAGUCUGCAUCAGAAAUGGCAUGAGGGGCCCUGCAAACUGACCCCAUUCCUUCUGGAAUCGCUUCUCCUCUGGCUGAGAAAGAAACUAAGGCUCAGGGGUGCUCCUAACCGGCCCAAGCCACGGCUGAGAGAGAGUGGGCCAGACAUCUAUAAAGGACGAUGAUGAAAGCCAACCCAGCCCCUGUGACGCCCUUGGUUUUCAUCCAUGGCGUUAAAGCAAGAUAAAGACCUCGCAUGGGAAUAAAGUUUUCUGGGCUUGUAAGGGGAAGGAUGAUAAAUUACACUGUGGAAAACGGGGCCAGUGACUCACAGCUGGAGGUGCUGGGAUGAUCUAGAAGGGCUCAAGAGGCUCCCAUCUCCCAAACUGAAGACCUGGCCCCUCUCCUUCAAGUUUACAGUGGCUGAUGCAGCUGAGCGAGGAGCAGCUCUGGGGCCUGGGAGGGGAACAUCUCACUACAGGCAACGCUGGCUCCCCACUGCUGAAGAAGCUGGAAAUGGAUCUCUGUGGUUUUGAGCCAUUGCAGUUUCAAGUCUGCUGAUGACAGUGGCUGAACCUACACUAACACACAGAAUUCUGCCAACAACAAUAGCUCUGGGACAAAAUACAGACUGCCUUUUACUGAGACAUAUGUGAGGUCUGUGUGCCUGCAAUAGCUUCACCUACAUUCUAAGGCCUGGAAGAGCAGGGCUGUGAUUUGUGCUUCAGUAUUUAGGACAGCAUUUGCCUUUUCCCCUAGUUUAGUUAUGGAAGCAUUUGUGUAAGUCCUGGGUUCCUUCUUCCUUAAAUGUUUGAAAGGAUUCACUGGAAAACCCUUUCUGGCCUGAAUUUGUGUGUGUGAAGGUUUUCAAUCGAGUAUUUAAUUUCUCUAAUGCUUGUUACAAGUGAUCUCUUUGUCUGAUUAUUCUAUGUCAUUCUAAAGCACAAUCUUUAAAAAGUUGUGCUUUUCUGGGAAUCUGUCUGUCUUAUCUAAUGAUGCAAAUUCACUGACAUAAAGUUGUUCUGUUAUUAGAGAUUUUAUGAGCUGUGUGGUCUGUACUGAUGUUGCCUUCCAUGUUAUCUUGGUAGCUGAAAUUGUCUUUUUUCUUUUCUUUUUCAAAAAAAUCAGACUCUCCAGGGGUUUAUUUAAUUAAUUAUUCAAUUAAUUUGUUUUAAGAAACAACUCUUGACUUGAUUGACUGUCUCUACUAAACACUUGCUUCUAUUUCACUGAUUUCUGCCUGUGCACUUAUGUUGUUUUCUAAUUCUUGUACUGAAGCACUUAGCAUGGUGCCGGGUAGAGAGUAACUUAAACGUUAGCAUCACCACUGUAAAGAAAAGCCUCAACUCAGGGUGUCUGUUAUAAGAGAUUGUUAAACAUUAGAACUUUCACAACUUCUUUGGUGAUGAGGUCUCAGAAAACAUUAAAUCCAUUUGACCCAUUCAAACUUUUACUAUUAUCAUUAUACAUUAAAUCCAUGUAUAUUUGAAAGCAUAUGAAUAUAUAUAUUUGAAAACAUACAAAUAAAUAUAAAUUUAUUAAUAUAAUAUGUAUUUGUAUUUAAUAUACAUAUAUUCUUUUCAUUACUUAUUAUUCCUUAUCUUUGUGCUUCCACCUGGAGAUAUAAUCCCUCUGCUGAAAAAUCCCCUUAGUAUUUUAUUUACUGUAGAUCUUUCAGUAGUAAAUGAUCUCCAUUUAUGUGUAUGUAAAAAUGUUUACUUUCACCUUCACGUCUGAAGCAUUGGGCAGAAACUUCCUUUUACUACUUUGAAGUGGUUAUUCAUUGCCUUCUAGCUUGUAUUAUUCUGCUGAAGCAUUAGCUAAUUGUAUUAUUGUUGCUUGUUUGGGAGGAAAUUGCUUUUCUUUGUUUGCUCUUAAGUUCUAGUAUUUGAAAGUACAAUAGGAAAAUUACAGCAACUAUAAUACAAUUUUUUAGUAAAUAUAGUACAAUUUUUCUCUUCUAGUUAUUUUGAAAUAUAUAAUAAAUAAGACAUAAUACAUGUACAGAAUGUGUAAUGACCACAUCAGCAUAAUCGGGAUCUCCAUCACCUCAGACAUUUAUAUUUUGUUUGUGUUGGGAACGUUACUAUUUUUCUCUUCUAGUUAUUUUGAAUGUAUAAUAAAUAAUAAUUAUAUAUUUAAAAUAUUGUGUAUAAUAAUUAUAUUUGUCAAAAUAACUAGAAAAGAAAAAUUGAAAGUUUCCAACACGAAGAAAAUGUGUCUGAGGUGAUGGAGAUCCCGAUUACACUGAUGUGGUCAUUACAUGUUCUGUACGUGUAUCACAACCAUAUGUAUCCCCAAAAUACGUAAAAC
rnacentral:lncRNA from 1 species